rnacentral:rRNA from 1 species
UACGGAGGAUGCAAGCGUUAUCCGGAAUGAUUGGGCGUAAAGCGUCCGCAGGUGGCGAUGUAAGUCUGCUGUUAAAGAGUCUAGCUCAACUAGAUAAGAGCAGUGGAAACUACAUAGCUAGAGUACGUUCGGGGCAGAGGGAAUUCCUGGUGUAGCGGUGAAAUGCGUAGAGAUCAGGAAGAACACCAGUGGCGAAGGCGCUCUGCUAGGCCGUAACUGACACUGAGGGACGAAAGCUAGGGGAGCGAACAGG